rnacentral:rRNA from 1 species
UGGAAGGGCCAUCGCUCAACGGAUAAAAGGUACUCCGGGGAUAACAGGCUGAUACCGCCCAAGAGUUCAUAUCGACGGCGGUGUUUGGCACCUCGAUGUCGGCUCAUCACAUCCUGGGGCUGAAGUAGGUCCCAAGGGUAUGGCUGUUCGCCAUUUAAAGUGGUACGCGAGCUGGGUUUAGAACGUCGUGAGACAGUUCGGUCCCUAUCUGCCGUGGGCGCUGGAGAACUGAGGGGGGCUGCUCCUAGUACGAGAGGACCGGAGUGGACGCAUCACUGGUGUUCGGGUUGUCAUGCCAAUGGCACUGCCCGGUAGC